CUUCCGUUGGAGCUGCACCUGCGCACUUUUUUCCGAGGAGGGGCUUAAGCGGGGCCUGGGAGACAACCCGAAAGCUCUGGGGUGUCGCUCCGGCUUUCGAGUCCGGAUGUCAAGCUCGCACCUUGGCGUAAGGGAAUGGAAGCGCCUAAAGCCCGGGGGUGGGCGGGGAGGCUUGCCGCCUCUGCCCGGCGCGUGGAUGGGACCGUCAGUCGGUUGCGAAGGAGCAGGCGGACAUCUUUCUGACCGAACAAAGAGGAAUUAUUCAACAAUUAUUCGCCAAUCUGGAAACAGCGGUACAUAUGUUAGAGGGAAUAAUAAAAUAUACUUGGCAAGGAAGAAUUGCAGCAAUCAUAUUUUCUAUUUCAAGUGGUUCCAAUUCCAAACCCAAUAAGGUAUUUAAUGGCUGGCAUGGACUAAUAAGGAGUCGUAUAUAAUCCAGCAAAGGGGCAAAUAUUAAAUUCAAGAAUUUCCAAGAUUCAAAAGAGCAAGGUGCCCCCCCCCCGCCAAGUUUCAAAUUCUACUGCCGUGCUGCCUGCCUGAGUGGAUUUCAGCGUGAAUUAUAUUUCAGAGUGGUUCCAUCAUCUUAAUGGAAGACCUACCAGAAAGGCUCAUAGGCUUUACUUGUGGCCCCGGAGAAAAACAGAAGAGCAGCUAUUUCUGAAUGCUGCUUGCUAUUUGGUGGAAGAUCUCCAAACUUUUGAACAAAGAUGUCUGAGAGGUUCCAAGGACACCUUUCAAAUCAGGCUGUUUUCUACUAAACGUGAAACCAAACACA